CGCCACCCGAAUGCCUGGCCCGAGGAGCGCAGGGACAGUCGGGGGAGGAGCCGGGCCGGGGCUGCCCGCCGGCGCUCACCCGGACCCGCAGCCUCCUGCUCUGCGCCGAGGGUUGGGCCUGGGGCCUGGGGCCUGGGCUCGGACGUGCACGCGCGCGGGGAGAUCUGGGUCCCCGGAGGACAGACCAGGAGCGAGCAGCGUCGCACCGCCGCUUGACAGCCGAGCCUAGGAGGCUUAGUGACAACGUCUGGUCGUCUGGUGGGCAAGAAUGCGACCCGAAAUCCAGAGAGGGUGAGUGUGGCGCCCAAAGGCUCACAGCAAAGCCACUCGGAGCCAGAGGCGACCUCAGACCUCCCAGUUGUGACUGGCUUCUGGGCCCCACCCUGGGGACUGCCACCUGAAUGGGCACAGAGAAGGACAAUUCUCGGCAGGCACACUUGGCCAGGACAUGCAGCCAAGACUCAGGUCAGGAAGGACAGCUGGGAAAGUGGGAGGUCUACUCUCACGUCCUUCCACUCACCAGCUUGCACAGAAUGCAGCUCCCACACCUGAUGUUCCAGCAUCUCAUCCCCAAUCCAAACGGGACGCAAGCCUGGAAGGAUGUGGGCCCGAAAGGCACAGCACCCUCCCAGGUCCCAGCGGACCCAGGCUCCUGGUUUUGAGCAAAGGCGCAUGCCACCAGCACUGCACCCUUCCUGCACACUUGUUACCCAGAUGACAGGGCACAGGAGGCCGAGGGGCUGGCGGGGGCCCUUACCACAAGUCCCAUGGAAGGCGCAGAUGGCAGCCACCACGGAGGUCCCCGGGCCGAGCUCCGUCUCAACUGAGCUCGGUUUCCAGCAGCAUGAUGACCGCCAGGCGGGAGGUGGCGUCCGGGUCUAGGCCGCCCUCCUCCCUCCUCCUCUGCCGCCACAGGCGCCUCCAACCGCGACCCUGUCUACCUGGCCUGGCGGAGACUCAGGGCCCUGGGGCGCUGUCCGCGGUGCUGAAGGAAGUGCUGCCGCCCCCACCCCCUCCCCCUUGGCGGGCC